GAUGAACGCUAGCGGGAGGCUUAACACAUGCAAGUCGAGGGGCAGCACGAUGUAGUAAUACGUUGGUGGCGACCGGCGCACGGGUGAGUAACGCGUAUGCAACCUACCCUGUACAGGGGGAUAACCCGGAGAAAUUCGGACUAAUACCCCAUAAUAUUAUUGAGAGGCAUCUUUUGGUAAUUAAAGUUUCGGCGGUACGGGAUGGGCAUGCGUAACAUUAGCUAGUUGGUAAGGUAACGGCUUACCAAGGCUACGAUGUUUAGGGGUCCUGAGAGGGUGAUCCCCCACACUGGUACUGAGACACGGACCAGACUCCUACGGGAGGCAGCAGUGAGGAAUAUUGGUCAAUGGGCGGAAGCCUGAACCAGCCAUCCCGCGUGCAGGAAGACGGCGCUAUGCGUUGUAAACUGCUUUUCCGGGGGGCGAAACUCCCGCACGAGUGCGGGACUGACGGUACCCUG
rnacentral:rRNA from 1 species